CGAGCUAUAGUUUAAGAUAAAACACGUAACUUGCACUUACGAAAUACUUUAUAAGUUUGCUCCA
rnacentral:tRNA from 1 species